GGGUCAGUAGGUUGGUCGUGCCACCGGUACGUACUGGUCUCACUGAUUCCUCCUUCCUGAAGAGCCGUAAUGCCAUUAAUUUGGUGUUGCGGGGAAGCAGGACUGUUACUUUGAAAAAAUUAGAGUGUUUAAAGCAAGCUAACGCUUGAAUACAUUAGCAUGGAAUAAUGAAAUAGGACGAUCGAUCCUAUUUUGUUGGUUUCUAGGAUUGACGUA
rnacentral:rRNA from 1 species